GACGAACGCUGGCGGCGUGCUUAACACAUGCAAGUCGAACGGAAAGGCCCUGCUUUUGUGGGGUGCUCGAGUGGCGAACGGGUGAGUAACACGUGAGUAACCUGCCCUUGACUUUGGGAUAACUUCAGGAAACUGGGGCUAAUACCGGAUAGGAGCUCCUGCUGCAUGGUGGGGGUUGGAAAGUUUCGGCGGUUGGGGAUGGACUCGCGGCUUAUCAGCUUGUUGGUGGGGUAGUGGCUUACCAAGGCUUUGACGGGUAGCCGGCCUGAGAGGGUGACCGGCCACAUUGGGACUGAGAUACGGCCCAGACUCCUACGGGAGGCAGCAGUGGGGAAUAUUGCACAAUGGGCGGAAGCCUGAUGCAGCAACGCCGCGUGCGGGAUGACGGCCUUCGGGUUGUAAACCGCUUUCGCCUGUGACGAAGCGUGAGUGACGGUAAUGGGUAAAGAAGCACCGGCUAACUACGUGCCAGCAGCCGCGGUGAUACGUAGGGUGCGAGCGUUGUCCGGAUUUAUUGGGCGUAAAGGGCUCGUAGGUGGUUGAUCGCGUCGGAAGUGUAAUCUUGGGGCUUAACCCUGAGCGUGCUUUCGAUACGGGUUGACUUGAGGAAGGUAGGGGAGAAUGGAAUUCCUGGUGGAGCGGUGGAAUGCGCAGAUAUCAGGAGGAACACCAGUGGCGAAGGCGGUUCUCUGGGCCUUUCCUGACGCUGAGGAGCGAAAGCGUGGGGAGCGAACAGGCUUAGAUACCCUGGUAGUCCACGCUGUAAACGGUGGGUACUAGGUGUGGGGUCCAUUCCACGGGUUCCGUGCCGUAGCUAACGCCUUAAGUACCCCGCCUGGGGAGUACGGCCGCAAGGCUAAAACUCAAAGGAAUUGACGAGGCCCCGCACAAGCGGCGGAGCAUGCGGAUUAAUUCGAUGCAACGCGUAGAACCUUACCUGGGUUUGACAUGGAUCGGGAGUGCUCAGAGAUGGGUGUGCCUCUUUUGGGGUCGGUUCACAGGUGGUGCAUGGCUGUCGUCAGCUCGUGUCGUGAGAUGUUGGGUUAAGUCCCGCAACGAGCGCAACCCUUGUUCACUGUUGCCAGCACGUUAUGGUGGGGACUCAGUGGAGACCGCCGGGGUCAACUCGGAGGAAGGUGGGGAUGACGUCAAGUCAUCAUGCCCCUUAUGUCCAGGGCUUCACGCAUGCUACAAUGGCUGGUACAGAGAGUGGCGAGCCUGUGAGGGUGAGCGAAUCUCGGAAAGCCGGUCUCAGUUCGGAUUGGGGUCUGCAACUCGACCUCAUGAAGUCGGAGUCGCUAGUAAUCGCAGAUCAGCAACGCUGCGGUGAAUACGUUCCCGGGGCU
rnacentral:rRNA from 1 species